rnacentral:lncRNA from 1 species
CGCGUCGCGAGGCGAGCGUCCUCCUUUUGUGCGAGCGCCGGCGGCUCGGCUUCUCGAAGGUAAACAGCGCUUCCUCUUCCUCCUCGCCGCGCCUCUUCCUUUUAUAGUUAUUUCUCGCCUGGCACUCGCCCGGGCUGCUGCUGCUGCUGCUGCUGCCGCCGCGGCGGGGGCAGCUCGCAAACCUGUGGCGGUGACGUGAGCCCCGCCAACCCGGAAACGGCGGCGGCGGCGGCACCGGAGGCUCCGAGGCUCCUGCGCUCCCGCGCCGCGCUCCCCUCGCCCGCCCGGGCCGCCAGGAGAAGAAACUGAGGCCUGGAAUUUGAUUAACUCAUUCAAGGUUACCCAGUUGGGUCCCACCCUGUCGCCCAGGCCAGAGUGCAAUAGUGCAAUCACGACCCACUGCAUCCUUGACCUUUUGAGCCAAAGCAAUCCUACUGCCUCAGCCUCCCAAGUAAUUCAUUUGCACACCUGUUAGCAAGAAACAGAAGUUGAAGGACUGGAACAAGUGAACUAGGAAAGAGGGAACGCCAAUCCAAGGAUAGAAGGACAAGGACAGAAUCACCAGCACUGGCUGAAGGCAAUCCAGCAUCCAGCAGAUGAGAAGUUGCAAGAGAAGGCAUGGGGUGCAGUUGUUCCACUAGUAGGCAAAUUAAAGAAAUUUUACGAAUUUUCUCAGAGGUUAGAAGCAGCAUUAAGAGGUCUUCUGGGAGCCUUAACAAGUACCCCAUAUUCUCCCACCCAGCAUCUAGAGCGAGAGCAGGCUCUUGCUAAACAGUUUGCAGAAAUUCUUCAUUUCACACUCCGGUUUGAUGAACUCAAG